rnacentral:rRNA from 1 species
UUAAAAAAUCAUACCUGCUCGGUGAAUAUAAAUAUAUUUUAACAGCCGCAGUAGCCUGACUGUGCAAAGGUAGCAUAAUAACUUGCUUUGUAAUUUAAGGCUAGAAUGAAUGGUCUAACGAAGAAAUUAUUGUCUCUUUUUUAUUUUAUAAAAUUUUACUUUUAAGUGAAAAGGCUUAAUUUUUAUUAAUAGACAAGAAGACCCUAUUGAGCUUUAAUAUAAAAUUUAUUUUUAUUUAUUUAUUUUACAUAAUAAAAUAUUUUUAUUUAUUUAAGUUGGGGCAAUUAAAGAUGAUAUAAAUUAUCUUUCGAAUAAAAAAUAUUUGAUCCAGGAUUUACUGAUUAAGAGAAUAAGUUACCAUAGGGAUAACAGCAUAAUUUUUUUGAAGAGUACAUAUUGCGAAAAAAGUUUAUGACCUCGAUGUUGGAUCAAAAUAUCCUGAUAGAUGCAGGCAGUCUAUAA